rnacentral:tRNA from 1 species
GCCGCGGUGGCGGAACUGGCAGACGCGCGAGACUUAAAAUCUCGUAGAGGUAAUUCUCUGUGUGGGUUCGAUUCCCUCCCGCGGCA